rnacentral:rRNA from 1 species
AUGAGUGUGUUCAAACUACCGGCCUCAGUGUGUGAUGAUCUAACCAAGAUGAUGAGGCAAUAUUGGUGUGGGGUGGAAAAUGGCAAGAGGAAGAUGGCAUGGCUAAGCUGGGAGAGGAUGAUGUUACCCAAGGCCAUGGGGGGCAUGGGAUUCCGAGACAUGAGAGCUUUUAAUCAAGCUUUUCUUGCCAAGCAGGCCUGGCACCUACUGGAUAGCCCAGACAGCUUAUGUGUGAGAUUAUUGAAGGCUAAAUAUUACCCAAGGGGAAAUUUGCUUGACACUGUUUUUUCAUCUAAUAGUUCGGCGGUGUGGAAAGGUAUCGUUCAUGGACUUGAGCUGGUG